AGAUGGCCAGGUGUUCGCUGCGUUCUUUGAACGGAGAGGAAAGUCCGGGCUCCACAGGACACGAUGGUGGGUAACGCCCACCGUCCGCGAGGACAGAGCAAGUGCAACAGAGAGUAGACCGCCUCAGCGUCAUGCGAAGUGAAGCUUCGGCUUCCGGGGUAAGGGUGAAAGGGUGCGGUAAGAGCGCACCAGCGGCCUGGUUGAUCGGGCCGGCUGGGUAAACCUCAUCGGGAGCAAGACUAAGCAGGAGGAAGUGUGUUUCGGCACACUCGAGUCGGUCCGGCUCGGUGACCUCCGGGUAAGUUGCUUGAGGUGCUGAGCAAUCAGCAUCCUUGAUAAAUGGACACCCGCGACAUCGUCGUGACAAAACCCGGCUUAUCGGCCAUCU
rnacentral:RNase_P_RNA from 1 species